AAUGUCUGUGCCCUCCCUCGAACGAAUUAAAUCAGAAGUUCUGGGAAUAGAUCCCAGGUAUAGGUGAUAUAAAAAUCUUCCCAGGUGAUUAUAAUACCUACUUUUGAGAGCAACUAUCCUUGAAGUAGAAGCAAUAGCUUAGCCAAUUGAAAUUGGGGUUGAUGGAAAUUCCAAGUGGAAGCAUCAAUGUCCACAAAGACAAGACCAUGAGAUGGAGCAGAGCACGUAGGAGAACGGAGAAAAAGUUGGAACACUAAAAGAAAAGAAACGAGAAGUUUUACCCUUUAAUCUUCACUAAGUGAUGGAUAUUCAGUGGGAUUCAGUAGUCACAGAGAACCAGAGGCCUGGGGCAGGACCAGGUGCUACCCACGUUCUUUCCAUGACGAUGGCAGUGUAUGAGCACACUGAUUGACACACCAUCACUUUUGCCUGAUUCUACUGGCCAAAGCAGGUCCUAUGGCCCAACCCAAGUCAUGGGGUGGAGAAAUAGCUUGUCCUUUUAGAGGACAGAAUUGAAAAGUCAGGUGGCAAAGAGUAUGAAGAUAGGGAGAGCUGAAGAAUUAGGGCCAGUAAUACAGUCUACUAUGGGUAUUAACUUAAUUCUGGCAACAACAUCAUGAGGUGGAUACUCUUCAUACUUCUCAAAACUUAGGAGCAGCAGGAUGGAGAACAUCUGAAGCGGGACUGCACUGAGUCUGUUGCUGGCUGUGCCACUUAUUAGCUAUAUGGCUUUUAACACUUCUUUGACCCUUUUGUGCCUCAGUUUCCUCACAGUUAAGUUGGAGGAAAUAAUUUUCCUUGCCCCAUAGUGUCAUGAGGAAUAAAUGAAUUUAUGUGUAAGAUGUUUAAAACAGUGUUCGACACAUAAUAAGUAAUUACUAAAUUUUAACUGUUACUACCAAAUUGAUAACUAACAUUUCUGGAACGUCUAACUGUGGUCAGGAAAACACGUAACUCAGUGUCAACGGUAACAAUGAAUAGAACUAUUGAUGUCUGAACCAAUACCUACUCUUGUUCUUGAUCUUAAAAUCUCAGAUACUGUUCUAUACCUGCUAUUCAUAACUAGUUUUCUUUUCAUUAAACAGUAUUUUGAAGAUAUCCUUAUAGGUAUCGAUACAUUUUAUAAUAAAACAAAAUAUGGCCUUAUUAGUAAAAGCUAUACAUUAAUUUACUAAUAAUGGUUACUGACAAAUUAAUUUCCAUUUACCAUCAGAAACAUUUUUCAAGAAAUGUCAUUUAGUUUUCACGAAAAGCUCUGUUUGCGGAAAAUAUGCUCUCUAUCCAAAUGUAAGAUUUUUCUUAUUUCUCUAAAUCAAGUGGACCCAUUAUUC
rnacentral:lncRNA from 1 species